AGCCUGGGAGAUACUACUACCAUGCGGGCAAUGGUUUGAUAACAUUAACGCCGUAAAAUUGAUCGAAAAGCCUGUCAAAGGCCUUACGCUAUCCGGGGACCAACGCACAGAUGCUCUAAUUGUAUUGAUAUCUACUUAUUCAGUACUGAUUAUACUAAAGUUGUUGGUCAUAAUUAUUUUAGUCUAUCAGAUCUGCUCAAAUCUAAUAAAAAAAAGAAAUGAAGAAAAUGAACAAGAUG